rnacentral:rRNA from 1 species
GACGAACGCUGGCGGCGUGCUUAACACAUGCAAGUCGAACGGAAAGGCCCUGCUUGCAGGGUACUCGAGUGGCGAACGGGUGAGUAACACGUGGGUGAUCUGCCCUGCACUUCGGGAUAAGCCUGGGAAACUGGGUCUAAUACCGGAUAGGAGCCAUUUUUAGCGUGAUGGUUGGAAAGUUUUUUCGGUGUAGGAUGGGCUCGCGGCCUAUCAGCUUGUUGGUGGGGUAAUGGCCUACCAAGGCGGCGACGGGUAGCCGGCCUGAGAGGGUGGACGGCCACAUUGGGACUGAGAUACGGCCCAGACGCCUACGGGAGGCAGCAGUGGGGAAUAUUGCACAAUGGGCGCAAGCCUGAUGCAGCGACGCCGCGUGGGGGAUGACGGCCUUCGGGUUGUAAACUCCUUUCGCUAGGGACGAAGCUUUUUGUGACGGUACCUAGAUAAGAAGCACCGGCUAACUACGU